rnacentral:rRNA from 1 species
GACGAACGCUGGCGGCGUGCCUAAUACAUGCAAGUCGAACGCUGAAGGAGGAGCUUGCUUCUCUGGAUGAGUUGCGAACGGGUGAGUAACGCGUAGGUAACCUGCCUGGUAGCGGGGGAUAACUAUUGGAAACGAUAGCUAAUACCGCAUAAUAGUAGAUGUUGCAUGACAUUUGCUUAAAAGGUGCAAUUGCAUCACUACCAGAUGGACCUGCGUUGUAUUAGCUAGUUGGUGGGGUAACGGCUCACCAAGGCGACGAUACAUAGCCGACCUGAGAGGGUGAUCGGCCACACUGGGACUGAGACACGGCCCAGACUCCUACGGGAGGCAGCAGUAGGGAAUCUUCGGCAAUGGACGGAAGUCUGACCGAGCAACGCCGCGUGAGUGAAGAAGGUUUUCGGAUCGUAAAGCUCUGUUGUAAGAGAAGAACGAGUGUGAGAGUGGAAAGUUCACACUGUGACGGUAUCUUACCAGAAAGGGACGGCUAACUACGUG